GACGAACGCUGGCGGCGUGCUUAACACAUGCAAGUCGAACGGAAAGGCCUCUUUCGGGGGGUACUCGAGUGGCGAACGGGUGAGUAACACGUGAGUAACCUGCCUUUGACUUUGGGAUAACUUCCGGAAACGGGGGCUAAUACCGGACAGAAGCUCUUGCGGCAUGGUGGGGGCUGGAGAGUUUCGGCGGUUGGGGAUGGAUUCGCGGCGUAUCAGCUUGUUGUUGGGGUAGUGGCUUACCAAGGCUUUGACGGGUAGCCGGCCUGAGAGGGUGACCGGCCACAGUGAGACUGAGAUACGGCCCAGACUCCGACGGGUGGGAGCAGUGGGGAAUAUUGCACAAUGGGUGGAAGCCGGAUGCAGAAACGCCGUGGGCGGGAGGACGGCGUUGGGGUUGGAAACCGCAUGCGCUCAUGACGAAGCUUUGUGUGACGGUAGUGGGUAAAGAAGCACCGGCUAACUACGUG
rnacentral:rRNA from 1 species